UACGUAGGGUGCAAGCGUUAAUCGGAAUUACUGGGCGUAAAGCGUGCGCAGGCGGUUAUGUAAGACAGAUGUGAAAUGCCCGGGCUUAACCUGGGAACUGCAUUUGUGACUGCAUGGCUAGAGUUUGGCAGAGGGGGGUAGAAUUCCACGUGUAGCAGUGAAAUGCGUAGAUAUGUGGAGGAACACCGAUGGCGAAGGCAGCCCCCUGGGUCAAGACUGACGCUCAUGCACGAAAGCGUGGGGAUCGAAACAGG
rnacentral:rRNA from 1 species